CCUCCAUGAAUCAAUCAAGGUGCUUUAAUCCUUAUGGCAGAAAGAAGUCCUCCCAGAGCAACCUAACUGGUACUGUAGCAAUUACUUGGUUCUUGCACAAAUGCGUCAGACAAUACAAACUGCACAAAAUUCUCUUCAAGAAUCAAGGAUAUAUCUACUAAAAAGCAAAUAAAUUAAGAUCCAAUACAAAAACUUCAAUGCUAGUACUUUACCCUGAUCAAUCCUUUCUUAUCACCAUGCUUUUUAUGCUUCCGCAGCCACAUGUAAUCUCCAUUGACAAUCAUCGCUCAUCGGCAUGAACUAGCACUUCUCUGUGCGCCAAUGCAUCCUCUGGUUGGUGCCAGCGCUCACCGGCCAACCUGCAACUGUUACCAGAUAGAUCAAUCAUAAGAACAUAAGCAUCAUAGACGAUAAUCGUCAACCCAUCUAUUUGCAAGUCCUAGCAUUUUGUACAACACCUAAAGAUAAAGGUACUAAAAUCAUUUAUUAUAUACACAAUAUUUAGAUAUAUAAACUAAAUUAUUAUAUCAGUCUCUUGAACCAAUCGAAAGGAAACAUGCAAAUUUCGGUUUACUUAAGAAGAAUGUAAAUUUUGUCAUACUAAAUGCUAAGAAAAAUGAUCCAAAUUCAGAGGUACAUCAAAUCACAAUUAUAGUAAUGAAAGAAAACACACAAAAGGCAUUUUUAUCUCUUCCCAAAAUAGGAUAAAAAAUUAAUGAACAAUUAGAAUUUUCAAUGGUUCAUAGAUGAAUACACUGUACCACAAAGAGUCUUAAAUUGUAUAUUGUGUUACCUAACUUAUUUAGAUUGGCAAAUAAUCCAAAAAAAUAACAAAAAAAUAUUAGUACAGAAAAAUGUAACAUAAAACAUGAAAUGUAAGAACCGAAUAGAGGAACAAACAUUUUGUGGCCACUGGAUUGUAAAAAGAAUGGACACUAAAGUUACUAUAAAUUUUUAACUUUUCUAUAAGGUGAGGUAGUAAUAAGCCAAAAAAAUAUGACAUCUCAUUUCUUUUGGUGCAUUCACCUCAAUUAUUUUCUUAUGCUUGUUUUUUGCAUAAAAUAUAAGGCAUGUGUGUAGUCAGAUGACUGAACUAUUGGACUCUAUGUGCAUCCUUUUUGUGAGCUUAUACGACUAAAAAUCAGGAAGAGAUUGCAAACAUGGAAAUCAUAGAAACUUACAUUUAGUUUUGUAUUUAGUUAUUAAUCGAUAUGAUUUUCCAUUUAUCCCACUACCAAGACCCGAGCUUGCAUUACUCAUUACUCAGUGCCCUGCAUAUUUUGUGAAAGGCUCUUAGUUGAGAUAUUCCAUGUCCAAAAAAUACAAUUUAUUUAAUGCGUUCAUAAUUCUGAAUCAGGUACAAAAAGAAGCAGACAAAUAUUACUUAUGUCUUAUAAGUUUGAUACAUGUAUGCCACCUAAUAAAUUUUCCCAAAAAGGAAAGCUGAGAGGUCCUAUGCAGCACCAUCAUGUGUUUCUUCUUUCUAUUUUAGAGACAACCUAAGAUUUCACUACUGAUAAGGAGAAUCUCCUUACUAAGGAAAUUACCAGGUCAUACCAUGGGCAUAAGAAUUGUUCUUCGGAAUUUCAUCACCAUAUUAAAAAAGUUUUGAAGGAGAGGUCUGUAAAAACAAUCAUCCAUUAAUGAGUGCGAGCACUACUAAGACAACUAUAGCACACAAUAACCAACAAUCUAUAUAGAAUCCGGUCACUUUGAAAAGUUAAAAUGAUUUAUAUAAUAUAUUAGAGAAUUGUGCCAGCUAGACCACUGAUCAUGAAGUAAAAUAUUUAGAGAAAUAUAUUUACAAAAGACAACUAUAAUUGGUACAAAAUUUGGAAGGGUAGUCACUGAAAAGAAAUUCCUUUCUAACUGAAUACAACACUGAUCAAAUUAUACCAUUGAUAGUAACUUGUGUAAGAUAAUAUUACGUACGACAAAAUCACUGGAUAGAGGACUCCCUCGGUAUUAAUGUAUUAAUCGUUGCUCAAGAACACAUAAUUGAAGUACUGUAACGAAUGGCCCAAAUGAAAUUUUAUAUAUGUCAGCAAAUACAAACUACAAAAGGGCAUGUUAUUUAAUACACCACAAAAUAAUUUGAGCAAAUUCGAUCGUAGCAGGUCUGAACAUGCAAGAUUAGCAUCACAAAUCAUAGCUUCUAUAACAUCAGAGUCCAUAGCAUCAGAGGCCGUACCUUUCGAAGUGUGUGAGUUUCUCAUUCCAGCACACAUACAUUGUCAUGUACCAGCUGUUUGUAGAGCUCAUCCCAAUGAGAAUUUGUAUCUUCUUUAGUUAUUAUGUCUCUUAACAGUUAGGAUAGCAUUAUAACUAAGUUGAUGAGUUGUUAGGUUUUUGGUUGGUGAUGUCUCUUGUUAGAUUUAACCUGGAAUAAAAAAAUUAUAAUCUAGAAGUUACUCAUCUGUUGGCUUUACUCAACAACUUUUUAAUUAGAAGGAGCUCCUAACAUAGAGCAUCUACAAACAUAAAUUAUAUUCCAUGGCAUAUGGAUUUGCUAUUAACGUAUUGAUUUGUAUCUAUAUGUUUACAACAAAUCAAAAUCAAAUGGAAGCAUCGUACAUCAUUAUUCCAAGGAAAUAAGCUAAGAGCAUGCAUCUUCAUUCUUCAAUAGAGUUCUGCUCGGUGUUCAGUGCAUAUAAUAAUUUAGUGCUACAAUUGGUAUUCCUCCAGAUUAUGCUUUUUCAUACAGCAAAUUGGCACCUCAUCUCCAUAGGAGCUGUGAAAUCUUUACUUUGGUCUCUCUUUCCCCUGUUUGCAAAUCAAUUUAUGUUUCACCCCAUCUUCAUAGUAGAAGUAAAGGGACACGAUUAGCUGAUGAUAUUCAAAUCCAGAUAAACUCUGUUUGCACCUACAGAUGACAACGACUACUCUGUAUGCACCUAUAGAUAACAUCGACUACUCUGUAUGCACCUGAUAUUAACUUUCCUAUAAAAUAAAUAUAUGCAUAUAACAAUACUUACAUCCUUUUAAUAUGAAAUACACAAAAAUCAAAUAUCAGACAGUUGUUGAUGUUACUAUGACAACACGACAGAAAGAAUCCACAUUAAUAUUGUUGACCUUCUCACCCCGUUGUCUAAAAUUAAAAUUUUCUAUCUUGUAUAUUCCAAGAGUUGUAAAUAUUAGGAAUCACGGUAUUUGUACUCAUUUAAUUCCUUUUGAUGUACUCGCUCAAUCUGAAUCACAGUAUCUUCAAUCUUUGAGAUCCCAUCAGUUGUCUAUUUUUCCUCAGACGGUUUGCUAACUUGCAUUAACCAGUUUAUCACGGCAUAUGAUUACACCAAUGAAUACUAAC
rnacentral:lncRNA from 1 species